rnacentral:rRNA from 1 species
AUUGAACGCUUGCGGCAUGCUUUACACAUGCAAGUCGAACGGUAACAGGCCGCAAGGUGCUGACGAGUGGCGAACGGGUGAGUAAUGCAUCGGAACGUGCCCAGUCGUGGGGGAUAACGCAGCGAAAGCUGCGCUAAUACCGCAUACGAUCUAUGGAUGAAAGCGGGGGACCGUAAGGCCUCGCGCGAUUGGAGCGGCCGAUGUCAGAUUAGGUAGUUGGUGGGGUAAAGGCUCACCAAGCCGACGAUCUGUAGCUGGUCUGAGAGGACGACCAGCCACACUGGGACUGAGACACGGCCCAGACUCCUACGGGAGGCAGCAGUGGGGAAUUUUGGACAAUGGGCGCAAGCCUGAUCCAGCAAUGCCGCGUGCAGGAAGAAGGCCUUCGGGUUGUAAACUGCUUUUGUACGGAACGAAACGGCUCUGGUUAAUACCUGGGGCUAAUGACGGUACCGUAAGAAUAAGCACCGGCUAACUACGUGCCAGCAGCCGCGGUAACAC